GAUGAACGCUGGCGGCGUGCAUAACACAUUCAAGUCGAACGGAGUUAUUCCUUCGGGGAUAACUUAGUGGCGGACGGGUGAGUAACGCGUGAGCAACCUGCCCUUGUGUGGGGGACAACAGUUGGAAACGGCUGCUAAUACCGCAUAACACACACCAAUCGCAUGUUUGGUGUGUCAAAGAUUUAUCGCUAAUGGAUGGACUCGCGUCUGAUUAGAUAGUUGGUAGGGUAACGGCCUACCAAGUCGACGAUCAGUAGCCGAACUGAGAGGUUGAUCGGCCACAUUGGGACUGAGACACGGCCCAAACUCCUACGGGAGGCAGCAGUGGGGAAUAUUGCACAAUGGGGGAAACCCUGAUGCAGCAACGCCGCGUGAUUGAAGAAGUAUUUCGGUAUGUAAAGAUCUAUCAGCAAGGAAGAAAAUGACGGUACUUGACUAAGAAGCCCCGGCUAACUACGUG
rnacentral:rRNA from 1 species